rnacentral:lncRNA from 10 species
ACCAUUCUAGAUUUAUUACGUGUUUUUUGUGUGUGUGUGUGUGUGUGUGUGUGUGUGUAUCCAUAAAAUGCAUAUGUAAAUUUUUUUUUGUUUUUAAGCAUUCACCCAAACAAAAAAAUCACAGGUAAACCCAUGUUUCUGAGAUGCCAUUAUUCCAAGCAAAAUAAGAGAUAAUCCCUUCAAGUUAAAUUGAAAAUUUUCCUGAAACCAUACAUUUCAAGUGAAAUAAGUAAUUCUAGAUAGGACAAUUUAAAUUGGAUAAUUUUAAAGUGUCUAUAAUUGCAGUGGUUUAUUUGCAAAAUUCCUAAAAGGAAAAAUUUUAUCACUGCCAUCACAGCAGGUUUCCUCAUCCAGAUGAGGAAACUAGACAAAUGCUAGUGUGUUUUAACUAGCUAAACAAAACUAAGUUAAAUGAACAUUUAAAAGUUUCCCUAGCGGGCCAUUCCUUAGCAAAAUGUUGGAAUCCCUGUUGCUACAUUGACUAAAAGGUCAUGAUGAAUGGAAUAUGUAAGACUUGGCUCAUAGAAACCUAAUCAGAUGGUUAGAGGUGUUGGCAGUUUAGGACCUGCUGUCAUAAAUGUGUGAACAACCUUUUGUAACCUAACCUAUUGACCUGCAUGUUUUUUCUUUACCCCAAUUCAUUACAUGGAGGCUCAAUCUUGAGUUUGCUUUACUGGUUCAGCAAAAGCCAGGAAGAACAACUUUGUAGUAAUCAAAAUGUUAUCCAACUGUAUAUUGUUUACUUUAUUGUAAAUACUGGUGAACAGUGGUUAAUAAAUAGUUUUAUAUUCCUUUA